UUUAAAUAAUGGGUUAGGGGUAUCUAAAACUCUGAUCCAGAAGUUAAACAUGACAGGGGAAUACCUAGCCAGGCCAAAGUGUCCUCCCUGAUUAUAGUGCUAGAGUAGGGGAUUAGAUCCCAGGCAAAAUUAGCGCUAAUACCAUCAUCCCAAUGAAAAGUGUUGAUUCCCCUGAAAUGAAAUGGUUUCUGAAAUGCCCCAAUAUAUACUACCUGGGCCAUUUGAAUAACUGGACAAUGCACAUUAAUGAAUUAACACAUUAAUAAGUAAACCCCA